rnacentral:tRNA from 1 species
GCACCCGUGGCGGAAUUGGUAGACGCAAGGGACUUAAAAUCCCUCGCUUUCGGGCGUGCCGGUUCGACUCCGGCUGGGUGCACCA